rnacentral:rRNA from 1 species
UACGUAGGGGGCGAGCGUUGUCCGGAGUUACUGGGCGUAAAGGGCAUGCAGGCGGUCGGACGCGUUUCGGGUGACAGCGGGUGGCUUAACUACCCGAGUGGUCGAAAGACGGUUUGACUUGAGGACGCGAGAGGGACACGGAAUUCCGGGUGGAGUGGUGAAAUGCGUAGAUAUCAGGAGGAACGCCGGAGGCGAAAGCGAGUGACUGGCGCGUUCCUGACGCUGAGGUGCGAAAGCUAGGGGAGCAAACAGG